rnacentral:tRNA from 1 species
GGAGAGAUGUCUGAGUGGUUGAAGGUGCCGCUCUCGAAAAGCGGUGUACUCCAAAAGAGUAUCGAGGGUUCGAAUCCCUCUCUCUCCGCCA